AUAACAUUUGCCGUAGGUUCUUAGCUACAGUACUAACGCCGUGAAGAAACAUCGUUUACAAAAGGGUAACCCACGUAAUCCAGUUCCACCGCAUCCCACGACGUCCUCCGCUUCCUCCCUCUUCUCUCUGUCUACGACUGCUACGUCCACACGUCGUCGUCCCUCCCUUCAAUUUCGAUUCCGAUGAUCACGCUUGAUGCUUUCAUUUGAAAUUAGGGCUCCAACAGGUAACUUGGUAGAAUCUUCCUCGAAACAAAGUAUAUCAUCAGUUCCAACGUUUGAUGUGGCGUUUUUGGUUGUCCCAAAUUGCAGGCCCUAGGUUGCAGUUAGCCUUUUAAUUGUUCCCCAUUCCACAUGUUAUGGUUUUCACUUAUGUUUACCGGCUUACUAACAUUGUGUACCAAAAUGAAUCCGAGAGGGGCCUUUGGCAAGCGUUCAACAAAGUUUAGUUCUUAUUAAAAUGUGUAUCUGCACAUGGUCGUCGUUUGCGUAGGGUUAUGAAUGUUAAGAGUCGGUGAUAGGUGAUUGAUCUGCUUCGUCUCAAGAACAACACACCCCCACUUUCUGUGUGCUCCUUUACUUUGUAACGAUGGUUUAGUGUUAAUGAUUUUGAUGUGCUUUU
rnacentral:lncRNA from 1 species